GAUGAAGAACGCAGCAAAAUGCGAUAAGUAAUGAGAAUUGCAGAAUUCAGUGAAUCAUCGAAUCUUUGAACGCACAUUGCGCCCGCUGGUAUUCCGGCGGGCAUGCCUGUUCGAGCGUCAUUUCAACCCUCAAGCCCCCGGGUUUGGUGUUGGGGAUCGGCUCUGCCCUUCUGGGCGGUGCCGCCCCCGAAAUACAUUGGCGGUCUCGCUGCAGCCUCCAUUGCGUAGUAGCUAACACCUCGCAACUGGAACGCGGCGCGGCCAUGCCGUAAAACCCCAACGUCUGAAUGUUGACCUCGGAUCAGGUAGGAAUACCCGCUGAACUUAAGCAUAUCAAUAAGCGGAGGA
rnacentral:misc_RNA from 1 species